AAAUUCCAGAGGUGAAGGACACGCUCACAUUUUGCUCAUCAUGGCAGAAGAUGUAAGGAAAUUCACACGUAUGCUACUGGAAUGCAGCAGCAAUGACCAACUAUGUGUUGUGCGUGAAUACCAGACUGAAGUGAUCAUCAUUCCAGUUUUCUUGGUGGGCAUCUUUGUUAUUGUGUUAAGUGUGAUCCUUUGGCUCCGUUACCAAAGCUGGAAGACAAAUUGGCAGCAGCGGCAGCAGCAGCAACUGGUACUGCCUGGACAUGAAGUCAAGAGAGAGAGUCAGCAGGAGCCAAAUGCCUCAGGGAACUCUUACAUUCAGCUGAGUGAGACAACGGUGGAGAGCCUGCUAAAAGCUGCUGCCAUGACACUGAAGGAGCUGCAGAUACCCCGAGAGAGACUCACACCGGGCUCCUUGAUGCUGAUACACACCGGCAGCUAUGGGAGCAUCUACAGAGCAGAACUGCAGACUGAGAACCCUGGGAAGACUAAGGCAGUCAUCCUGAAAACCUUGCAGGACACAGCUGGACCCCAUGAUGUGAAGGAUUUCCUGGGGAGGAUUAAGUUCCAUCAGUCAUUAGGCCAGCAUGAGAACCUGGUGGAACUGGUGGGGUGUUGUAUAGAUCAGCUGCCGCUUUAUAUGGUCCUGAAGGAGUCAUCUCUUGGGGAUCUCUUGAACUUCCUGUGGGUCUGUCGCAAGGAUGUAAUGACAAUGGAUGGUAUCCCAUAUGACCUCACUGAGAAACAGGUCUAUAAGGUUGGGCAGCAAGUUGCAGCAGCUUUGGAUUUUCUCCAGCAGAAGCAACUUGUCCAUGGUGACAUCGCUGCCAGGAACGUCUUGCUCCAACAUGACUUCACUGCCAAACUCUGUGGGCUAGGCCUAGCCUAUGAAACCCACACCUAUGGGGCCAGGUCCGUCACACAGAUUGUGCCACUCAAGUGGCAGGCACCGGAGCGACUCCUGAAGAGACCUCCCAGCAUCAAGGCAGACAUAUGGUCCUUUGGAAUCUUACUGUAUGAGAUGAUUACAUUAGGGGCUCCCCCAUACCCUGAGGUGCCACCUCCUGACAUCUUGCAGCAUCUGCAGAGACGGAACAUCAUGAAGCGGCCCUCCAGCUGCCAGCCAGUCAUGUAUGGCAUCAUGCAAGCCUGCUGGCAAUGGAAUGCAACUGACCGGCCCUCCCCUGCAGAGCUGCUCCAGUACCUGCAGAAAGCAACUGAGACCAGCAAUGAUCAUGCUGUGCUGCAGGUGCCUGAACUGGUGGUGCCUGAACUAUAUGCCAAUGUGGCUGGCAUUGAUGUGGACAGUCUUACCACCGACUACACUGUUCUGUGAGAGGGAGGUCUGUGCAUAUAGGAAGGAAUGGAUCUCCUGCCUCUUUCUGGGAGUGUAUGCUACCACUCUUGCUGUAACUCAGGGUGCUGGUUGGGAAACAUUCCCCUCUUUUUAAAAUGCAGAACAUAUUUUGGGUUCCUUCUGCUUGAAGCUACUUAGUAAGAACUGCGAGGGUCUCGUGGUUCACCACCGUGGACUUCAAAAACACAUCCUAUGGUACUCAAACUCUUCUGUAUAUUGUGAUCAGCUACCCUGAAGGACACAUGAGCCUGAAACAGUUGUUUUCAUUGGCUCAUGGUGGUGUUCAGUUAGGAAGCUGAACAAAUGCUGCUGGAUAUUUGAGUGGAAGACAUUUACAACCCAGAAGCACUCCCACAGCAUGAAGAGCAUUUAGAUGGUAGAACAAUUUCUGUCAACCUUGACCUUUUUCCAUUUGUGCAGCUGAGGAAGAAGAAGCAGCUACCUGCAGCUCUGGCAGGUAUGCAGCGAGCACAUGAAGGCUGCCUACAUGUAUUUUCAGAAUACAGAUACCAAGGGUGGAAAGGAAUUGUUCUUGUUCCGAGGAAUGUAAUUGGAAAGAAACUGAAUGAAAGGGAAUGAAAGGAAAACUGAUGCUGACAAUCAUGAAACAUUUCCAAAAUGGAAGGGUUUUAGGACAUCCUGCCAAAGGAGUGUUGGAAGCUCCAUUGCUUGGAUAUUUAAAAGAUACCCUGUAGAAUAAAAUUCAGCAUCCAGCACUGCAGGGACCCAAGAGAUAAGAAAGUGGAUGGAUGAGAUGAUAAUCAAAUAAGUAUAUUUUAUCUCAUUUAUUGACUGAAGGGCCAUCCCAUUCAGACCACUUGUGACACUGCUCGUUAAUUGUUCCUCAGGUGCUGUAAGCCAUAGCCAAAUGCAGGAAAAUGUGCACUUUUAUUGUGAUAAGACAAAAUAGCCAUGUGUUACGGUUUGGAAUAGAAAUUGCUGUAUUCAUUUACUACAUUUUUUUUUUUUUAUGCAGGCCUAUUUCUUGUUUGUGGGGUUUUGGAUUCAAAGGCCCACUCCAAGGUAAAAACAGCAACUACAAAAAACUCUACCCUGCCUCAAAAUCUCAGGGAAAAUUUUGACUGAGAGCUAAUUCUCAGGGAAGGAAUGUGGCGAAGGUUUAUUUCACUUUAUUUGGACAGAACAGGUGACUUAUUUGUAUGUUUCUCCUUCCACACCCUUUCCCCCAGGAGUACUUCCAAUUUCAGUCAUGACACAACUACUGUGAAAAGGGCAUGGGGAUGAUGUAGGUACAACAGAAGAUUGGGCUACUGUGAAAAUCACCUGUGAUGGAGAAUAACUUGGUGACGACAUCACUGUACAGAUAGAGUGGUAACAGGCCAUAGUUUGCAAACAUCACGUUGUGAAUAGUGUGGUGAGGAUAUGCCUUCUGUGGGAGUAAUACAAUUCUGUGAUUAUAUAUAUAAUGUGUAAUUACCAUGGCAAUGAGAUAUUAUCUGUUAGAACAGCAUGCAACAUGUCUAAUCUCUGAGCAAAGUGCCAACACCUAGAUAUGGUAGGUCCAGAGGGAGUGCAGUGGUGGGAUUGUACCCUGCUUUCUGGACCAUGCUGUAGGAACAGCAGUCUGCAAAUCAGGAAAGAACCCAUCCCCUGCCCACUCUUGGCGCACCCUUUCUUCCCUUCCAUGCUCAAUGGCACCCCCCUCUUUCCUCCCAUUUCCUGGUCCCUCUCUCUACUCAUGCAUAUGGUGCAGGAAGGGGUCAGGGAGUUCCUGCCCACCACCACUGUUCUGGCCACCCUUGCCUUGCUACAGCUGGGUUGCAUGGGAAGUGGCUGGGUGGGGAGCUGGGCUUGGCUAGGGACAGUAGCAGUAGGAGGUAGUUUCCCCUUCUGGAUCUAACUUAUCCAUUUAGGUGUUCUGUGACAACACAAAUGCUCUGGAAAUAACAGAUGAUGAAGCCAUGUUCAACUACCAUGUUUGACGUCAUGAUUCAGUAUAAAAUAAGUGUGACAGAAGGCUUUGACCAGAACACUUAACUUAUAUGGUAUCUGUUGUACAAAUGGACACUUAUUGUAUAUUUCAAGCCUUGCCUACAUUAUAGAUUCUAGUUACUGUAGCUAAACCACUGAUUUUACACUUACGUACUGGUAAUUUAGUUAAGAUAAGGGUUAACUGCUCCUGUUUAAUCCCCACUGCAUUAGUGUAAUUUGUGUCCACACAAGGGGUUUGUUCCAGCACAGCUAUGUUAAUGGCUGAAAUCUUAAUAUAUGCCUAGUUUUCUUCAUGCCAACUGCACCUCCCAGGUGCCUGCGGAGAACAGGGUUAAAUCUUUUCGAAUAAAUAUAUUAUGGAUUUGU